rnacentral:rRNA from 1 species
AUGAACGCUGGCGGCGUGCCUAAUACCUGCAAGUCGAGCGUACAGACGAGGAGCUUGCUCCUCUGACGUUAGCGGCGGACGGGUGAGUAACACGUGGAUAACCUACCUAUAAGACUGGGAUAACUUCGGGAAACCGGAGCUAAUACCGGAUAAUAUAUUGAACCGCAUGGUUCAAUAGUGAAAGACGGUUUUGCUGUCACUUAUAGAUGGAUCCGCGCCGCAUUAGCUAGUUGGUAAGGUAACGGCUUACCAAGGCAACGAUGCGUAGCCGACCUGAGAGGGUGAUCGGCCACACUGGAACUGAGACACGGUCCAGACUCCUACGGGAGGCAGCAGUAGGGAAUCUUCCGCAAUGGGCGAAAGCCUGACGGAGCAACGCCGCGUGAGUGAUGAAGGUCUUCGGAUCGUAAAACUCUGUUAUUAGGGAAGAACAAAUGUGUAAGUAACUAUGCACGUCUUGACGGUACCUAAUCAGAAAGCCACGGCUAACUACGUG